GAAGAAACCAAACAGAAACAGAUGUUUUGAGCACUUUUUCAUCUGUUGAAGACGUUCAUCUAUUGAAGCCCUCGCUUUCUCUAAAAUUAGACUAAGAAGUGUACACACUUCUGGGACGUGUUUGCAGUUGAAAUACACGUGGAGUUUUAACAUACUUUGACAAAUAGGAUGCCAGGAAGAGAAUUCCGGACAAGGGAGAAUCACAAGCAGCAUUAAAAAGAAAAGCAAAUCCAUCCAGCAAUGAAAGUUUUUUCCGACUCCUCCGAAAACUACAAAAUUCUUCUCCUUCAUGAGGAAGGUGAGAGACAAAAGAGAGAAUAAUAGGAAGAGCAUUUUGAGCUGGAAAAAACUGAGUAUGUAGAGCUCAAAGGAAACACUCCAGAAAAAAAGU